UAGUUUGAUGGCGACCGGCAAACGGGUGCGGAACACGUACACAACCUUCCUUUAAGUGGGGAAUAGCCCAGAGAAAUUUGGAUUAAUACCCCGUAACACAACGAAGUGGCAUCACUUUGUUGUUAUAGUUUCGGCGCUUAAAGAUGGGUGUGCGUAUGAUUAGAUAGUUGGCGAGGUAACGGCUCACCAAGUCUACGAUCAUUAGCUGAUGUGAGAGCAUGAUCAGCCACACGGGCACUGAGACACGGGCCCGACUCCUACGGGAGGCAGCAGUAAGGAAUAUUGGUCAAUGGACGCAAGUCUGAACCAGCCAUGCCGCGUGAAGGAUUAAGGUCCUCUGGAUUGUAAACUUCUUUUAUAUGGGACGAAAAAAGGUCUUUCUAGACCCCUUGACGGUACCAUAUGAAUAAGCACCGGCUAACUCCGUGCCAGCAGCCGCGGUAAUACGGAGGGUGCAAGCGUUAUCCGGAUUCACUGGGUUUAAAGGGUGCGUAGGCGGGUAGGUAAGUCAGUGGUG
rnacentral:rRNA from 1 species